rnacentral:rRNA from 1 species
UUGGGGAAUAUUGGGCAAUGGGGGAAACCCUGACCCAGCGACGCCGCGUGAGGGAAGAAGGCCUUAGGGUCGUAAACCUCUGUUGUGUGGGAAGAAGAGCGUGACGGUACCACACGAGGAAGUCCCGGCUAACUACGUGCCAGCAGCCGCGGUAAUACGUAGGGGACGAGCGUUGUCCGGAUUUACUGGGCGUAAAGGGCGCGUAGGCGGUCAUUUAAGUCAGCUGUGAAAUGGUUUGGCUUAACCGGAUCAUGCGGUUGAAACUGGAUGACUGGAGUGCUGGAGAGGCAAGUGGAAUUCCCAGUGUAGCGGUGAAAUGCGUAGAUAUUGGGAAGAACACCGGUGGCGAAGGCGACUUGCUGGCCAGCAACUGACGCUGAGGCGCGAAAGCCAGGGGAGCAAACGGGAUUAGAAACCCGUGUAGUCC